rnacentral:rRNA from 1 species
AGUGAACGCUGGCGGUAGGCCUAACACAUGCAAGUCGAACGGCAGCACAGUAAGAGCUUGCUCUUACGGGUGGCGAGUGGCGGACGGGUGAGGAAUACAUCGGAAUCUACUUUUUCGUGGGGGCUAACGUAGGGAAAAUUACGCUAAUACCGCAUACGACAUACGGGUAAAAGCAGUGGAUCUUCGGACCUUGCGCGAUUGAAUGAGCAGAUGUCGGAUUAGCUAGUUGGCGGGGUAAAGGCCCACCAAGGCGACGAUCCGUAGCUGGUCUGAGAGGAUGAUCGGCCACACUGGAACUGAGACACGGUCCAGACUCCUACGGGAGGCAGCAGUGGGGAAUAUUGGACAAUGGGCGCAAGCCUGAUCCAGCCAUACCGCGUGGGUGAAGAAGGCCUUCGGGUUGUAAAGCCCUUUUGUUGGGAAAGAAAAGCAGCAGGUUAAUACCCCGCUGUUCUGACGGUACCCAAAGAAUAAGCACCGGCUAACUUCGUG